rnacentral:rRNA from 1 species
UACGAAGGGGGCUAGCGUUGCUCGGAAUCACUGGGCGUAAAGGGUGCGUAGGCGGGUUUUUAAGUCAGGGGUGAAAUCCUGGAGCUCAACUCCAGAACUGCCUUUGAUACUGAAGAUCUUGAGUCCGGGAGAGGUGAGUGGAACUGCGAGUGUAGAGGUGAAAUUCGUAGAUAUUCGCAAGAACACCAGUGGCGAAGGCGGCUUACUGGUCCGGUUCUGACGCUGAGGCGCGAAAGCGUGGGGAGCAAACAGGG